AACAUCUUGGUGGCACCUCCGCACCUUGGGAACCCCUUGGUGCCUUGGGGACAUCUCAGCACCUUGGGGACAUCUCGGUGUCUUGGGGACAUCUUGGUGUCUUGGGGACAUCUCGGCAUCUUGGGGACAUCUCGGUGUCUUGGGGACAUCUCAACAUCUUGGUGGCACCUCCACACCUUGGGAACACCUUGGUGCCUUGGGGACAUCUCAGCAACUUGGGGACAUCUCGAUAUCUUGAGGACAUCUCAACAUCUUGAGGUUGUCUCAACACCUUGGGGACAUCCCAACACCUUGGGGACAUCUCAGCACCUUGGUGGCACCUCCGCACCUUGGGAACACCUUGGUGCCUUGGGGACAUCUCAGCGCCCUGGGGACAUCUCGGUGUCUUGGGGACAUCUCACCACCUUGGGGACAUCUCACCACCUUGGGGACAUCUCACCACCUUGGGGACAUCUCGGGAUCACGUGCCCUCGGUUGGCUCGGAGCUCCCCCCGGGGAUCUAUGGGGCGCGUCCCGUCCCCGUCCCCCCCCCAUCCCCGCCCUUGUCCCCUUGUCCCCAGGGUACUUCCCCGACGUCCUCCAGUGCGGCGUCGUCUACACCAUCACCAACGAGGAGUGCUCCAAGCUCUACCCCAAGGGCAUCACCAGGAACAUGCUGUGCGCCGGCCUCAGCUCGGGGGGCACCGACUCCUGCCAGGUGGGUCCGGCGCUUGUGGGGCACUUGUGGGGCGCAGAUGGGGCAUUUAUGGGGUGCCUAUGGGGCGCUGAUGGGGUGGUUAUGGGGUGGUUACGAGGUGCUGAUGGGGUGGUUAUGGGGUGGUUAUGGGGCGCUGAUGGGGUGGUUAUGGGGCGGUUAUGGGACGCUGAUGGGGUGGUUAUGGGGCGCUGAUGGGGUGGUUAUGGGGUGGUUAUGGGGCGCUGAUGGGGUGGUUAUGGGGUGGUUACGAGGCGCUGAUGGGGUGGUUAUGGGGUGCCUAUGGGGCGCUGAUGGGGUGGUUAUGGGGUGGUUAUGGGGCGCUGAUGGGGUGGUUAUGGGGUGGUUAUGGGGCGCUGAUGGGGUGGUUAUGGGGUGCCUAUGGG
rnacentral:lncRNA from 1 species